AUUGAACGCUGGCGGCAGGCUUAACACAUGCAAGUCGAACGAGUGGCGGACGGGUGAGUAAUGCUUGGGAAUCUAGCUUAUGGAGGGUGAUAACUACGGUACACUGUAGCUAAUACCGCGUACCAUAGGAUGAGCCCAAGUGGGAUUAGGUAGUUGGUGAGUGAAAGGCUCACCAAGCCGACGAUCUCUAGCUGGUCUGAGAGGAUGACAAGCCACACGGGGAAUGAGACACGGCCCAGACUCCUACGGGAGGAAGCAGUGGGGAAGAUGGCGCAAUGGGGGCAACCUGACGCAGCCAGGCCGCGUGAAUGAAGAAGGCCUUCGGGUUGUAAAGUUCUUUCGGUAGCGAGGCGUUAACUACAGAAGAAGCACCGGCUAACUCCGUGCCAGCAGCCGCGGUAAUUC
rnacentral:rRNA from 1 species